UACGUAGGGUGCAAGCGUUGUCCGGAAUUAUUGGGCGUAAAGAGCUCGUAGGCGGUCUGUCGCGUCUGCUGUGAAAACCUGGGGCUUAACCCCGGGCCUGCAGUGGGUACGGGCAGACUAGAGUGCGGUAGGGGAGACUGGAAUUCCUGGUGUAGCGGUGAAAUGCGCAGAUAUCAGGAGGAACACCGGUGGCGAAGGCGGGUCUCUGGGCCGAUACUGACGCUGAGGAGCGAAAGCGUGGGGAGCGAACAGGA
rnacentral:rRNA from 1 species